ACCACUGUUUAGACCCCGAACAGCUAAUAGGCUUUAUAAAUUAGAUUUAUAAAUUAGAGCAAAUCCCCCGCCUUGCUUCGUAUCACGAGGGACAUGACUAAAUGUGUAUACUGGUGUGCAGGCUUCAUUUACAGGGAGGACAGCAGUACGUUUUAGCGAGGUUUCACAUAAACCAAUCAUAUCUAAAUGAUCAUCCAUGUGUAA